GCGGGCGUGGCGGAACUGGCAGACGCACUGGAUUUAGGUUCCAGCGCCGCAAGGCGUGGAGGUUCGACCCCUCUCGCCCGCA
rnacentral:tRNA from 1 species